AUGUCCUCUUACUGUUUUUUGGAGGAGGACCUCCGUCUCCACCCAGAAAAGCACACAACAGAGGUACACACUGUCUGCAGACUGGAGCACCAGCUGCUGGCUGCCUUUACAAAAAAACAUAUUUCAUGCCAACACAAAAUGAAGACGUGCACACUACAACGUUAGUUUGUUCCAUUAUCCAACUUGUCUCAUGGAAACUGAACACGGAAGUGGAGAGCCGGAAACAGAGACAGCUCGUCUUCAAAAUAAAGGUUGCGCGUUUUGAACAAACGUGCUGGCUGCAGCCGUUAAGGAGAGUUAAGCUAAAUAAAUAAACUGUUCAUAUAAUGAACAUCAUUCAUAACGGGGUUUUCCGCUAGCCUACAACUGAUUGGGAAUUAAUUGCCAAUGAACACUGGAAAUUUUUAUGGGGUUCAUGUAGCUAUUCAUCAACUUAUUAAUUUGAUUAAGGUUACUUAAUCUCUUAUUUUGGACAUUUUUAUAAAUGUUUACACAGAUAAUAAAGACAUACUGUUGGACGUGGCGUCACAUGACUGCUGGGCUGAAGAGCAGCAAGAGAACAGGUGUGCUAACUGGGCAGGUCAUACAGGUGCCUAGAUUGUUCUUUGUUCUGUGUCCUGAGUUCAUUCUGUGUUUGCACUUCAGCUGAGCUGGUUCCUUCUGUCAUUUCACCUUUAUCUUGAGUGUGUUGAGUGAGUUUAUUUCAUUAUAAUUCCUCAAGUCAUGUUUAUUUUGAUGUAAAGUAGUGGUUUGUUCUCACACUUCUCAAUCCUGGGACACAGAGCGAAAAAUAGGUGUAAGCAUUAAGGUUUCAGGAAUAUGAAAAACAUGUUCAAAAACUACAAGUUGCAGAGCACUUGCUACCACUGUGGUUGCUGAACAAUUUGGCGAUGAGUGGAGGAAAGGCCGGAGUAUUUGUACAGUGGUUGAUGAGGUAAUGGUAUGCAGGUGUGGUACUCUCCAGAGCCAGGUAGGGGAAACCGCGCCCACAUCACCUACACACACAGCUCGCUGGUGCUGCUUAUCACAGGGCUACCUGGGUUACCAAUGUUGGUAUCAUGUACGGGCCAGGGGCUUAUUGCUCACCUGCCCCGAGGGCUCUGAGGGCCUUUACAGGAUGGCAGCCGGAUUAAUGAGGCCACAUCUUUGAGGUGGACCCUGGAUGUACCUGCCGUCUCAUAUAGGCGUAGCGGUCCUAGCUAGAUGGAAGCACAGGAUGUUCGGCCUGACUGAUGCCAAGUUGAUCCAGAGGAUCUCAUGGGAGGAGUGGAGGCUCCUCUCUCAGAGGAGGACACAUAGGGCAGAGGAGACGGCCCUCCUCAUCCAGGAUCUCAUGUCAACCUGGAUGUCCCAUUGCUUGAUUCCCUCUGUAUCAAGGACAUUUGGAGUAAACAGAGGUACCACCUAUGGUGCAUUCAGGACCCACCAGGUGUGCAACUGUACCAGUUCAUCCCAGGUACAUGAGUGUAUGUCAUAGCUUAUGAUUAGGUAUAUUGUGCAUUAUAAUUUCAUGUAAACAAAAUUAAUUUUUGAUCAGUCACGAACUUAGUUCACAGUAAAUUACUUUUAUAUAUAGAAAUGAAAGUAAUGAAAUGGUACGAUGGCUGGCUCAGCUUUUGUGUGCCCAGCAUGACAGCGGUAAAAACCGUGAGAUCUCCCCGUCACCCAUUAAUCAUUAGCUGGUUUGUUGGACCUGUGCCACAUAUAGACUCCACCUGUCCCAUUACUCUACACUACCACCCGUGAUAUGGCUUGACCUAGACUACACAUAUAAAGAACCAUAAAUACAGAGCUAAUAGAUGGCUCCUAAAAUAUUAUAUUACAUUAUUGUCUUUGAAAAUAUUUCUAAAUCUGCACUUUGUUUGAAAGCAUUAUUAUUAUUAUUGUUGAUGGUUUCAUUUUGCAUUACAUGACUUGUAACAUGUAUGAGGGACAUAACAUGUAAUUGUAAUUGAUCAAUAAAACACCAUGUGGUUUACUCAUA